CAGUCGCCGCGGUAAUACGUAGGUGGCAAGCGUUGUCCGGAAUUAUUGGGCGUAAAGCGAGCGCAGGCGGUUAGAUAAGUCUGAAGUUAAAGGCUGUGGCUUAACCAUAGUACGCUUUGGAAACUGUUUAACUUGAGUGCAAGAGGGGAGAGUGGAAUUCCAUGUGUAGCGGUGAAAUGCGUAGAUAUAUGGAGGAACACCGGUGGCGAAAGCGGCUCUCUGGCUUGUAACUGACGCUGAGGCUCGAAAGCGUGGGGAGCAAACAGGAUUAGAUACCCGCGUAGUCCCUGUCUCUUAUACC
rnacentral:rRNA from 1 species